GACACACCCCAUUUUGUAUAUUCUGUAUUUGAUAGGCUGAUGUAGGUUACAUCCAUUUUUGUAUCAGUCAACCAAUCAUAAUCUCUUUAUUGUUUUAAAUGUAGAUAAAAUGUCUCUUACUACAUUUGUCCAGCAGUAGGGUUUAGACUCCCAACACAGGUCAGCUCUAGCCCUCAGCCCAGAGGGUUGUACCGACUCUGUGGCCACCCCUUGUUACUCCGUUCUUGCAGAGACCAUAUAAUAGAGGGACGGCCCUCUAGCCAGUGCGCAAAACCAUCAGCGCUACGGCUUGUACGGCGCAGCCUAUCCGGAAGCUGGCGAAAACGAGUGUUGACUUCAGUCAUCGAUUUCGCGUAUUUUCGUUGCAAAGAUGCCCAGGAAAAAAAAGUUUUCAUCGGCAGUCGCCGGAAGGGCUACUCAAAGUGGGGUCCGAGACAACAAGGUGUCAGUUCUUCCUCUCUCUGACAUUCUUAUUCAUCAGUUCAAUCAACUGUUCUCGACGAUUGCAGUUCAAGAGAUGCACUGUGGGACAAAGCAUGGAAGUCAUUCUUCAUUGACCUCACCGAUGAACCCACAAAUACCCCAUGCCUGGAAGAAGCGACAUAUUCUGAUGGUUGUUCGGCUGAUGAAUUCUUUGGGUUUAUUUGACACAAUUCACCAGUAUCAUCCGGACAACAAUGUAGAUGAAUUUGUUGAUGACAUCCUGCGAUACCAGCAAUAUUUAACAUUAAAAAAGGAGCUCAUGUAGAUGAGCUAGGCAAUUUUACAAUUUCAAGAAACAAGCGUGAAAACAUUACUAUUGUGCAGUUUUAUGACUGAGGUAGGCUCAGUCCAGCUUUCAGUAGUCAUCAAGCCAUCCUUUACAUAUGCAAUACUAGUAUAUGCACAUCGACGUGACUUUGGCCCAAAUCAUGAAUUCUGGAUUGGUUUAACUGCAUUUUUCCCCAAAUGUAAUAAAGUACAUGAGUAGAAAUUAUGGAAAUUAAAAUCCAAUGUACAGUUCACUUCAUGGAUAUCUAAAAUAUCUGUUAAUGAAGUCAUAUUAAGAUUGUGUUCAGAUUUGUAU